rnacentral:rRNA from 1 species
GGAGGGUGCGAGCGUUAAUCGGAAUUACUGGGCGUAAAGCGCGCGUAGGCGGCCUGAUCAGUCGGAUGUGAAAGCCCUGGGCUUAACCUGGGAAUUGCACUCGAUACUGUCAGGCUAGAGUAUGGGAGAGGGAAGUGGAAUUUCCGGUGUAGCGGUGAAAUGCGUAGAUAUCGGAAGGAACACCAGUGGCGAAGGCGACUUCCUGGCCCAAUACUGACGCUCAGGUGCGAAAGCGUGGGUAGCGAACAGGAUUAGAUACCCUGGUAGUCCACGCCGUAAACGAUGAGAACUAGAUGUCGGGAGGAUUUACCUCUCGGUGUCGCAGCUAACGCGUUAAGUUCUCCGCCUGGGGAUACGCCGGCAACGGUA